AUACCUUCCUCGGCCUUUUGGCUAAGAUCAAGUGUAGUAUCUGUUCUUAUCAGUUUAAUAUCUGAUACGUGGGUCAAUGGCCCACACGAUAUUAACUUUAUUUUUUAUAGGGAAGGCUUAUUAAGGUAGCUUGCUACUUGGGCCUUCAUUCGUCGCCUUGGUGUUGCACUACUGCUUUGGCCUGGCGCAUCCCAC